GUCAUUUUUUCAGAUACAAAGAAGUUUAGGCUCAUUGUAGUUAAGAUUAUAUAAUUUUAUUAUUUAGUUAUAAAAAUCUAUUUCGCACGAGUGAAUAUUCUGAUCCGGGAGCGAAAAAGGGUACAUAAUCUACAUUGGAACCGGAAGUUGAUGAGCCUACGGAAUCUCCUGACACCACGGACAAUGCAGCUGCCGCAGCCGCUUUUUCUGUUCCUAGGCAGAACCCUGCCAACGAUGACACGGACAAGAAGGAAGUCGUCGAGACUAUCCGUUAUGGCCGUUCAACCCGGAGUCGGAGGGCGAUUUGCCAGCUAAAGGUGAGAGCUUCUUGCACUGCUGGGCCUGUUGAUGACGUCAAAAGGCUACGGAAGAAGCUGCCUGUACUUCAACAGAAGGUUCUUGCGGCCAAAACUAUCCAAAAAACAUUAGAAUUUGUAAGUAAUAAUCUGUUAUUUAUGAAAUUAUGCUUAUCCAUUUAAUUCGUUGCAAUUAAACCAGAAGGUUGUUCCCCAUUCCUUUCAAUCCAAGACGUAAACAAAGAUCCCGAAAGUUGGAUUGCUUCGGUGGAAAGCAUUCCCGGUAUAAAUCUUCCGAUUUGGACGCGAUCAAUCCAGUGCGAUGUAAAACCUUGCGGAUUGUUUGCUGCUAAUGCCAAAGUCCAUUAUAAUAUUUUGUUUUUAGCAGAAACGGUAAAAUGAAUUCUUACUUUCACGAUGA